CAUCCAAACCACAAACAAAUCACAUCAGCACAGCUUUCCUUUUCAUGUUGGUUCGCUAUAUUUAUAUAUAUGGCACCAAUGAUAAUGAAAAGCAGGAAGUGGCGUUGCAUCAUUAGUGGCAGUGGUGACUUGGCUACGAUGACAGCAACAAAAAAUUAAUUAGAUAGAUGGCUGGUUAGGAGAUUAAUUUUAUUUUAACAUGGAGCUUUGUGAUAUGAAUAUAUAGGUGGUUGACUAACCUAAUUUGUGUAAACAAAAGAUUGUCGAAUGUACAUGUAAUUAGUUUGUGCCACACAAAAGCAUCAUGUAACAAGUAAUACAUUCAUC
rnacentral:lncRNA from 1 species